rnacentral:rRNA from 1 species
AUUGAACGCUGGCGGCAGGCCUAACACAUGCAAGUCGAACGGUAACAGGAAGCAGCUUGCUGCUUCGCUGACGAGUGGCGGACGGGUGAGUAAUGUCUGGGAAACUGCCUGAUGGAGGGGGAUAACUACUGGAAACGGUAGCUAAUACCGCAUAACGUCGCAAGACCAAAGAGGGAGACCUUAGGGCCUCUUGCCAUCGGAUGUGCCCAGAUGGGAUUAGCUAGUAGGUGGGGUAACGGCUCACCUAGGCGACGAUCCCUAGCUGGUCUGAGAGGAUGACCAGCCACACUGGAACUGAGACACGGUCCAGACUCCUACGGGAGGCAGCAGUGGGGAAUAUUGCACAAUGGGCGCAAGCCUGAUGCAGCCAUGCCGCGUGUAUGAAGAAGGCCUUCGGGUUGUAAAGUACUUUCAGCGGGGAGGAAGGGAGUAAAGUUAAUACCUUUGCUCAUUGACGUUACCCGCAGAAGAAGCACCGGCUAACUCCGUG